ACAAACGUCUCUUUCUAAGCGUAAUGGAAAUAGAAUGAAACAUUGAUGAAAGGAGAACAAAUUCAUAGAUGUGAGUUCAGAGAAAAACGUUGUUUUUUGACUAUGGUUAAAAAAUAAACAUCUAUUGAAGAAAAUCCCGCAUCUUAUAUUUUUACGUGCCGUAUUUUUAGAAAAUAUUUGAAAUAUUUACUUACUGCCUUCUUUGAAACAAACCCUCAAAACACGUUAAGAGCUACCAGCUACGUGACCAUCUAAAGGAAGAUUCUUCUGACAGACAACGCGCAACAGCAUUUCAUCCAUUAUGAAGACUGAAACACAGACACUGACAUAGAAGUAGAUGUGAGAAAGGGUGUUUCGGCAAAAAGCUAGAUUCACAUGCAUCAGAUAUCCAGUGAUUCCGCAGGAAUGGUGGCCAAUUUAACAGCGACAAAUCAAUGGUCGUUCCCCACAACUAGCAGUUUAUCAUAUAAAGAGAGUAAUGUUGAUAACGAAACGAUGGCCAGCUGGAAUGGUGUGUCCAGGUUGAUUUUCCUCUCUGGCACAGCUACUGUCGGUACAAUGGGUAGUAUUUUUGCUAUCACUGCUAUAGCAGUGAUUGAUCCUUUGCAAGUCCGAGGAAACAUCUAUUUAGUUAGCCUGGCCUUAGCCAAUUUAUUGGUCACGGGUCUUGUGCUUCCAGCUUCUUGCAUAGCUAUCUUGGCGUCAAUUCCCCACGACCAAGGUAUAUGUGCAUUUCAGUGGUUGGUUAUGGAGGUUUGCUUUUUGGUCUCCGUGUUGACCUUUAUGUUCAUAGCAAUGGAAAACUUCGUGGGGCUUGGUAGUGUUAUCAGCUAUGACUUCUGCUGCACGAGGAACCGGAUCGUCACCACAGUGUCAACCAUUUGGUCUACAGCUGUCGCCUUUUCUGUUGGUCAGCAAAUAACUGGCUUUGGUCCUUCACUUUGUGACUCCUCCGCCCCCGUCUGGCUACCAUAUCAUGCUGUAUGUGGGCUUUUACUGGUCAUGAUGCCUAUUCUAAUUUCCAGCUCCUAUUUUGUUAGAGCCAUCUUCAAAUUAAAGGCUUUUAAGCUCCAGAUGGAAGCUUUGGAAGAUCCCACAGCCUACGUGCUGACAGACGAGGCAGUACUGAAAAGCAAUAUAGUAGUCUUUAUAUUGAUGCUGAUGAUGUGGAUACCAACAGUCGUCGUUUCGGUCGUGGGCUCAAUCCAUCCUGUUGGUCAAAAGCUUAUUGACGUCACCUGGUGGAUAUCACUGAGUAAUUCUUGUCUCUACAGCUACGUUUACGCCGCGACGAACAAAGAUUUCAGGGAAGCCUUUAAUAAGCUAUUCUAUUACUUUUGUUGCAAAAGUCAUGUAUCAUUUUCUCGGAAAUCACGUGAUGUAAGAAGGAAUGGAGCUGAUGGUAGGGGACUACGUGUUCACAUCAUCCCAGGACUAAACAUCUACGCCCAAAGAAAAGAUCCAGCAAAAGAUCCCUUAAGAAGUUUCCAGCUUAAAAAGGGUUCAAGUGAACUCUAAAGUAGCCCAAUUGAUUUCCUUUAGGGAUUCAUUCUGGCGUUAUGUCCAUAGUAGUUUGUAUGAGCUAUAAAUAAUUCCUGUAUGUGUACACAGGAAUAGUCUUGAACAGUUGAUGAGUUUUCUAGUUCGUUUCUUUCUGUUGAUCAAAGUAUAUAUAUAUCACAAAUUAAACAAUAUUCUAUUUAAAUUGUUCUUCAUCAUAUUAUAGAUUUUGUUUGAAGUAUUUAAACACUCUAGGGCUUCUAAAUGCAAAUAUUAUGUAUGCUUAUUAAUGUCCCAAAUCAGUGGAUCGAUAGACACGAAAUUUAUUUUCAAAUGCGUUACAUUGAACCUUCUAUAUUCAAUCUCUCUUUGGUACAGUGGCAUAGCAAUAAGUGGGCAAUCUGCUGCAGAGGACCCCUAAGGGGUCCCCCAAAAUUAGUAUUUGAAAUUUGAAUAUUGAAAUUAAGAGGGAAAUAUUCUCAAAAUGUUUUGAGGGAGGGCAAUAAAAUAUUUUGCCCUAAGGUUCUUUGAAACCCAGUUACACCACUGAUGGAGUCUGGAACGUAUGACAAUAACGUUUCUUCUAGCAUUUAAGCCAUAUUCAAAAACUUGAAAGAGCAAACAAGAACUCGUAAGUAUGUAAGAACACAAGUAAACUAGUCCAAAUUGAACGGACAUAACACUAAGGUAUAUACUUAAAAUUUCUUAUUGAAAAAAAAAGAAAACCAUACAGUAAACCUUUAUGGUGGUGAGAAAAGUGUUUCAUUGUUUUAUGUUUUUAUAGGAGAUGAGAUCAUAUGACGAGUAUCCAUGGCCAAUCCUGACCUUUCUGUGAAAAGUAAUUCUUAAUUGCACUUCUUCAUUUGUGUUUGGAAAUGAUAGAAUUGCGAAUAUCAUUUCAAUCUGCUACUAUACUGCAAAACAACGGCAUUAAGUAAAAUAAACAAAUGGGGAAAUAACCUCUCCACAUUCACCCACUUCUUAUAAAGUGAAGUUGCAUAUAUGGAUAUAUAUGUCUACGAUAUAAUCUAACUCAAAUUUUGAUUAUAUCUUAAACGAAGGUAUUCGCUAAAAUAGGAGCUAGGCGUGGCUUAAUGGUUAGCGUGCCGUAGUGCGGAUCUGAAGAUUCGAAGUUCAAGCCAUGAUAUCCCUCUGAACAAAUUCCACAACUUCAAUUGUGGGAGUGUUAAAAGUAUAACAGUCAAUAACUGUAGCACGGGCGGCUAGUGUUGUUGCCUGGUUGCUCUCAGUAUGGUCAGUUUUUCUAAACUAGGAAUGGCUGUGUUUGAAACUUGGAAGUACCUGACCUGGCUGUUUAACCAACCAACGUGUUUCAUAAGUUGCUGUUCAGGUUUAAAAUACUAACCACCAAAAUACAGUAAAAUACAUUUCGUAUUCUGACAGUUCUCCCUUAUUUUUUUAAAUAAAGCUGUUAAUCAUGAAUAACAUCUUACUUUAAAGUAGAAAAAAAACAAGUGCGAGAAAAGAGACAGCGAUGAUAUGUUUUAAUAAACUUAGAAUAAGUAAAAUUCUGGUAAAAGUAAAAAAAAAAAGAAGGGAUUUUCUGCUUAUCAACGUCUUGAUGUAAAUCGUCUUAAGACGUAAAGAUUUCAGUACUUCUGCUAUCAGUAGUUUGAGUAUUGAUGUGAAUGCAUAUCUUACACCAGUCUAAAACCGAACAUAUCCAGUAGAUUGUAAUAGCAGAGCUUUGUAGGUCAAGAUAACUAUUUUACUAAUAAAAUUGAUAAUUCAUUGUGUAAUUGAAAUGUUCAUGUAAUAUUGAUGUGUUUUCUCGUGUUGUUUUAAUUUUGUGGUGUGUUUGUGCAACAUUCAAUUUGAUGAAUGAAUUAUGAAGAAUUAUAUAUAUAUAUAUUUAAUACAUGCUGCUUGUGAAGUAUGUGCUAUUAAAUGAGAAAUUAUAAAUAUAUAUUCUUAACGAGAGACAAAAUGUACUGUUUUAUUGACGAUACUCUCCACUACCUUCAUGAUGUUCAUUUCUUAAUCAUUUUCAUGUCUAUUUUUUUUUUUCGGUUAUGAUAUUCUUGUCACUAGUUUUUCUCCAAUACGCAUGUCAUUACUAUUACAAAAUAAAUUUCACGAAAGUUUGUACGGUAUAAUAUUUCACGUUUUGUUUUGCAAAAUUGAUUUGUGUGGUUAAUAUUUUGGAAAUGUUUAGCUUACUGGCUGAUUUUUAUAUGUUUAAUUUAUUGGAUGCUGGAUGAUUUUGUUUUAUCUUAAAUUAUUUCAUUAUUUUAAAUUAAUGGGCAUCAAAUUUGCUUGCCAUAAACUCAGAUUAAUAUUUCAGUACAAUAUGUAUAUAUUCCAUGUAUUUAAGUGAACGGACGAGGUUUAUUGAUUAUCGUGUCGAACUGUAAGUCCGAACAUCCUUAGUUCACGGCUCAUUGCCGCAAAAACACGCCCCGCAUGUUUGGGCCAUAUUUGCGUUAUAAGAGUAACGGUAAAAUCUCAUUAUUCGAUUAGAGUAGCGAAAGAAUUAGCAAUGGGCUGUUGACUAACUGCUGCUUUUCCUUAAGCCUAUCAUUACUUUUUUAGAAUGAAAUGUCGGUCAAACCUCAACUUAAAAAAUUGUGAUUAUUCGUCUGUUUGUUUGGGAUAUUUACACUAAUUUACACAAUAACUAUCUUCUGUUCUAGCAAAAUCUAAUUUUGAACUAAAAGACUAGAGAGAAGGCAAAAAUUCUUCGGCACCCACCACCAACUCUUGGGCUACACUAAUCUAACAGUUGGAUUUGAUCAUUUAAUCCUCACGUUUAUAAGACAUCUACGAACUCAAAGUCCGUAAUGAUAUAUUUCGUGGCAACGGAAUAAAGAAUUGUGAAAGUUUAUUUCUAGAUAUAUCUUAUCUAAGAACCUUGAAGAAGUGAAAAUAUACUUAACAGUUUUAAACCUCAGGGAGUUAUUAUCACACUUUAAAAUACCUUACAAAUGUUUAAAUAAUUAUUGUGGACGUUUUUGAGAUAUGAAUAAGGUUAAAUCGAUGAUAUCAGUCUAAUUAACAUUGUUUUAUCGAGGCGAUAUCCGUUAGCUUGAUCUAUGUAUUUUUUAUGCAAACACGGCUAUUUAUGUACUGUUUAUUUAUUGAAGAGACUUGGUGGAUAAACAAUGUCUAACGCUACAUGGUGUUAACGACAUUGUAUACUUGAACACCACGUACUUCUAGUUGGUGUGAACGAGGUAGUAUACUUGAGCAACAUCAACUUGUAAUUGAUUUUUAUGUACCCAAAUGCCAAAUGAACCCAUAUUCUACUAAGUGGUGUGAACGUGACUGCAUGCAUGAAAAACAUGUUUAUUCUACUUGGUGUGGACGAAGCCAUACUCAUCAACAUAGUGUGGACGAGGCGAUAUGCAUUUAUUGUUGGCGUGUGUGUGAACAAUGCUAUAAGCGGGAGUGUCAUGUACUUUUCAUUAGUGUGGUCAAGACUACUUGCAUUAGCAUCAUGUGCUUCUAGUAUGUGUCGACAGGACUACAGGCGUGAGCACUCUAUAGUUUUUGCUGGUGCGGACGAACCUAUAUGCUUGAUCACUGAGUGUUUUUUAUUGGUGUGAAUAAGGUUAUAUAAAUGGAUAUUAUAUGCUUUUUUAUUGGGGUGGACGUGCACGACUGCCAUGUAUGAACAUCGUUUGUUUCUAGUAGGUAUGGACGACUGCAUGUAUGAACAUCGUUUGUUUCUAGUAGGUAUGAACGACCCUAUAUGCUUGAUCUCUAUGUAGUUCUAAUUGGUACAGUAAAAAUUGUAUACGCGCAUACACUUGGUUGCCAGGUUGCUGGUUACGCCCCUGGUCUAUGGUUAGUUAAUUUUUAAUCGUUUUUUUUAUUUGGUUGAUCAUAUUUAUCAAACUUGGAAUAUUAUUUUACAAGCUAUGAUCAGAAUUAGUUAAACUGACUUUUAUAAGAGCAACAACAACUCACUGUUUAGAUUGUUUCAAAUCUUUGAUAUUAAAAGUGUCUUAGAACUUGGAUAGUAAGAAUAAAGUAAAUUAUGUUUGUUUUUACAUGUUUAAUACAAAGCUAUAUAGUAUCCAAAUGUUCAUAUGUUUUAUAGUGAAAGUGUAAAAAGCUUGUAUUUUUGAUGUUUGUGAGUAACAUAAUUGU
rnacentral:misc_RNA from 1 species